rnacentral:rRNA from 1 species
UACAGAGGGUGCAAGCGUUAAUCGGAAUUACUGGGCGUAAAGCGCGCGUAGGUGGUUUGUUAAGUUGGAUGUGAAAUCCCCGGGCUCAACCUGGGAACUGCGCUUAUGACUGCAAGGCUAGAGUAUGGCAGAGGGGGGGUGGAAUUCCACGUGUAGCAGUGAAAUGCGUAGAGAUGUGGAGGAACACCGAUGGCGAAGGCAGCCCCCCUGGGCCAAUACUGACGCUCAUGCACGAAAGCGUGGGUAGCAAACAGG